CCGGGGUUGGCGGGGGACGUUGCUAUAUAUCGAGCGAASCAUGAGGAGCUGGCUCCUCUGACGUCGACGGUGUACGUGAGAGUGACGCUGGGGACCCCUCCCUGAAACUGGGAUAACUCCGGGAAACCGGGGCUAAUACCGGGUAACACAUGAAACCGCAUGGUUUCAUGAUGAAAGACGGUUUUGCUGUCACUUAUAGAUGGACCCGCGGCGUAUUAGCUAGUUGGGAAGGUAACGGCUUACCAAGGCAACGAUACGUAGCCGACCUGAGAGGGUGAUCGGCCACACUGGAACUGAGACACGGUCCAAACUCCUACGGGAGGCAGCAGUAGGGAAUCUUCCGCAAUGGGCGAAAGCCUGACGGAGCAMCGCCGCGUGAGUGAUGAAGGUCUUCGGAUCGUAAAACUCUGUUAUUAGGGAAGAACAAGGGUGUAAGUAACUAUGCACCCCUUGACGGUACCUAAUCAGAAAGCCACGGCUAACUACGUGCCAGCAGCCGCGGUAAUACGUAGGUGGCAAGCGUUAUCCGGAAUUAUUGGGCGUAAAGCGCGCGUAGGCGGUUUUUUAAGUCUGAUGUGAAAGCCCACGGCUCAACCGUGGAGGGUCAUUGGAAACUGGAAAACUUGAGUGCAGAAGAGGAAAGUGGAAUUCCAUGUGUAGCGGUGAAAUGCGCAGAGAUAUGGAGGAACACCAGUGGCGAAGGCGACUUUCUGGUCUGCAACUGACGCUGAUGUGCGAAAGCGUGGGGGAUCAAACAGGAUUAGAUACCCUGGUAGUCCACGCCGUAAACGAUGAGUGCUAAGUGUUAGGGGGUUUCCGCCCCUUUAGUGCUGCAGCUAACGCAUUAAGCACUCCGCCUGGGGAGUACGGCCGCAAGGCUGAAACUCAAAGGAAUUUGACGGGGACCCCGCACAAGCGGUGGAGCAUGUGGUUUAAUUCGAAGCAACGCGAAGAACCUUACCAAGUCUGGACAUCCUUUGACAACUCUUGAGAUAGGCCUUUCCCUUCCGGGGCACAAAUUGACAGGGGGUGCAUGCUGGUCGUCAGCUCGUGCCUGGAAAUGUUGGUUAAGUCCCCCACCAGCCCAACCCUUGAAGCUUAAAUGCCAGCCCUCAAGUGGGCACUUCAAAGUUGAUCUGCCUGGUGACAAACCGGGAGGUAUGGGGGGGAAUGACGUCAAUCUACAUGCCCUAUGAACUUGGCUACUCACGUGCCUACAAUGGAAGGGUACCACAG
rnacentral:rRNA from 1 species